rnacentral:rRNA from 1 species
AAGCGUUGUUGGGUAGGGGAGCGUUCUGUAAGCCGUCGAAGGUGGACUGUGAGGUCUGCUGGAGGUAUCAGAAGUGCGAAUGCUGACAUAAGUAACGAUAAAGCGGGUGAAAAGCCCGCUCGCCGGAAGACCAAGGGUUCCUGUCCAACGUUAAUCGGGGCAGGGUGAGUCGACCCCUAAGGCGAGGCUGAAAAGCGUAGUCGAUGGGAAACAGGUUAAUAUUCCUGUACUCGGUGUUACUGCGAAGGGGGGACGGAGAAGGCUAUGUUAGCCGGGCGACGGUUGUCCCGGUUUAAGCGUGUAGGCUUGCGUUCCAGGCAAAUCCGGAACGCUUUAAGGCUGAGGCGUGAUGACGAGCCACCACGGUGGUGAAGUAACAAAUGCCCUGCUUCCAGGAAAAGCCUCUAAGCAUCAGGUAACAUCGAAUCGUACCCCAAACCGACACAGGUGGUCAGGUAGAGAAUACCAAGGCGCUUGAGAGAACUCGGGUGAAGGAACUAGGCAAAAUGGUGCCGUAACUUCGGGAGAAGGCACGCUGCCGGUAAGUGAAACCCCUCGCGGGCGGAGCUGAAAGCAGUCGAAGAUACCAGCUGGCUGCAACUGUUUAUUAAAAACACAGCACUGUGCAAACACGAAAGUGGACGUAUACGGUGUGACGCCUGCCCGGUGCCGGAAGGUUAAUUGAUGGGGUUAUCCGCAAGGAGAAGCUCUUGAUCGAAGCCCCGGUAAACGGCGGCCGUAACUAUAACGGUCCUAAGGUAGCGAAAUUCCUUGUCGGGUAAGUUCCGACCUGCACGAAUGGCGUAAUGAUGGCCAGGCUGUCUCCACCCGAGACUCAGUGAAAUUGAACUCGCUGUGAAGAUGCAGUGUACCCGCGGCAAGACGGAAAGACCCCGUGAACCUUUACUACAGCUUGACACUGAACAUUGAGCCUUGAUGUGUAGGAUAGGUGGGAGGCUUUGAAGCGCGGACGCCAGUCUGCGUGGAGCCAACCUUGAAAUACCACCCUUUAAUGUUUGAUGUUCUAACUUAGUCCCGUGAUCCGGGAUGAGGACAGUGUCUGGUGGGUAGUUUGACUGGGGCGGUCUCCUCCUAAAGAGUAACGGAGGAGCACGAAGGUCAGCUAAUCACGGUCGGACAUCGUGAGGUUAGUGCAAUGGCAUAAGCUGGCUUGACUGCGAGAGUGACGGCUCGAGCAGGUGCGAAAGCAGGUCAUAGUGAUCCGGUGGUUCUGAAUGGAAGGGCCAUCGCUCAACGGAUAAAAGGUACUCCGGGGAUAACAGGCUGAUACCGCCCAAGAGUUCAUAUCGACGGCGGUGUUUGGCACCUCGAUGUCGGCUCAUCACAUCCUGGGGCUGAAGUAGGUCCCAAGGGUACGGCUGUUCGCCGUUUAAAGUGGUACGCGAGCUGGGUUUAGAACGUCGUGAGACAGUUCGGUCCCUAUCUGCCGUGGGCGCUGGAGAAUUGAGAGGGGCUGCUCCUAGUACGAGAGGACCGGAGUGGACGCAUCACUGGUGUUCGGGUUGUCAUGCCAAUGGCAUUGCCCGGUAGCUAAAUGCGGAAAAGAUAAGCGCUGAAAGCAUCUAAGCGCGAAACUUGCCUCGAGAUGAAUUCUCCCUGACUCCUUGAGAGUCCUGAAGGGACGUUGAAGACUACGACGUUGAUAGGCCGGGUGUGUAAGCGCAGCGAUGCGUUGAGCUAACCGGUACUAAUGACCCGUGAGGCUUAACCUU